rnacentral:rRNA from 1 species
UACGUAGGGUGCGAGCGUUAAUCGGAAUUACUGGGCGUAAAGCGUGCGCAGGCGGUUUUGUAAGCCAGAUGUGAAAGCCCCGGGCUCAACCUGGGAAUGGCAUUUGGGACUGCAGGGCUUGAGUGCGGCAGAGGAGACUGGAAUUCCUGGUGUAGCAGUGAAAUGCGUAGAUAUCAGGAGGAAUACCGAUGGCGAAGGCAGGUCUCUGGGCUGACACUGACGCUCAUGCACGAAAGCGUGGGGAGCAAACAGG